rnacentral:rRNA from 1 species
GUGUCAGCAGCCGCGGUAAUACGAAGGGUGCAAGCGUUACUCGGAAUUACUGGGCGUAAAGCGUGCGUAGGUGGUUCGUUAAGUCUGAUGUGAAAGCCCUGGGCUCAACCUGGGAACUGCAUUGGAUACUGGCGAUCUGGAGUGCGGUAGAGGGGUGCGGAAUUCCCGGUGUAGCAGUGAAAUGCGUAGAUAUCGGGAGGAACAUCCGUGGCGAAGGCGGCACCCUGGACCAGCACUGACACUGAGGCACGAAAGCGGGGGGAGCAAACAGGGUUAGAUACCCUGGUAGUCCACGCCCUAAACGAUGCGAACUGGAUGUUGGGUGCAACUUGGCACUCAGUAUCGAAGCUAACGCGUUAAGUUCGCCGCCUGGGAAGUACGGUCGCAAGACUGAAACUUAAAUGAAUUGACGGGG